GGAGGCAAGUGAUGAUACACAAUCUUAUCCUACACACCGAAUUGUCAUGUGGACUACAAACUGCGCUUAUUAUCUGAUGCCUUC